rnacentral:misc_RNA from 1 species
CACAUCCUCCAUCCUUCCACCUGCGCCCCGGCCGUGUGCGGCGGUGUGCCUUUGUACAGCCGAUCAAUGCAUGCCGUCAUGCGUGUAUCUUGAGCAUUUGCUUGCCUUUGCUUCUCUGGCCAGCCCUUUGCUUUUCUUUGCUUGGGCGCAUCUUCUUUCUCUGCUCUGGUGGUGCCGCCACGUGGUGGUUUGCUUGCUUCGCUUGCAAGGCUGCUUUGCCGUUCUCUCUCUGUGUGCGCGUGUGCGACGCCGUCGCCGUCUCCAUCCCCAUCGUCCCCGUCGGCGCCGUCUCGUGCUGAUCGCUGUUGCGUGCGUGAGAGCGGACGUGUGCAAAGCGGGGAAGGGUGAGUUCAACGGCGUCAUCUCUCGCAGCGAGUCUUCGUCCCUCUUCCUCUUCCUCUUCUUGUCUGGUGCAUCUUUUUUUUUUUCGCGUUGCCGAUGUCCAUCUCGGGUGCGGCUCCCCCGGAGCCUCUGUGUGGGAGGGAGUCGGGCGGCAAUGUACCAGGCAGUAUGGAGGCGCUCAUCAAGAAGCUUCACCCUCUCUACACUCAGCGCGUGCAGCCGCUAGAGGAGAUGUACAGCUUCGACGUCUUCCGCCCCAGCUGGUAUGAGGAGACAAUCCUCAACGAACGCCCCUUCAUUUCGCUGUUUGGUCCGUGGUCGGCUGGCAAGACCACCUUCAUCAACUACCUCUUGCAGAGCAACCACUUGUGGACUGGGCCGCAGCCGACAACGGCAGAGUUCACGGUGGUGAUGUACGGCAAAGAACCGGGCCCGGUUGCCGGCCAGGCGCUGGCCAACUCGAAGCAUCUGCCGUUCAAGGGGCUUCUCGAUUUUGGCGAGUCCUUCAUCAGCAACCUUAAAGGCUUCCAGGCGCCCCAUGCACUCCUGGAGCGCGUCACGCUCAUCGACACUCCUGGCGUGCUGGAGAGCUCUAAGGACAUUCACCAGCGCAAAUACGACUACGUGAACGUGUGCCGCUGGUUUGCGGAGCGAAGCGACUUGAUCUUCGUCUUUUUCGACCCCAGCAAGCUGGACGCCGGCGGGGAGCUUCGCCAGCUCUUUCAAACCUCCUUCAAGGGGAUUGAGAAUCGUCUCCGUCUCGUAUUGAACAAGGCUGACACCAUCUCCACCCAGGAGCUCAUGCGGGUCUAUGGCAGUUUGUUCUGGAACUUAUCCAACUUCAUCAACACAACGGAGCCGCCGCGAGUCUACGUUGGCAGCUUUUGGGAUAAGCCGUACAGCCCAAACUCCUUCUCUCGUCUCUUCGCUGAGGAGAAGUUAGACCUGCUGCAUGAGUUGCUCGACGUCAUCCCGCAACAGGCGAGGGACAAGAAGAUCGCGUCGCUCAUUCGGCGAGCCAAGGAGGUGCUCGUGCACGCCGCCAUCAUUGGUGGCAUCCGGGCCGACCUGCCAGUUCUCUUCGGCAGGUCCAAGGCGAAGAAAAAGGCCGCGGAGCAGCUGCCAAGGCGCUACGAACUCAUCGGCGCUCGCUACAAGAUGAACCACCGCGACUUUCCUCCUGUGCAGGCGUAUCGGUCUUUUCUGGAGCGCUUCGACGUCGCGAAGUUCCCACCGCUGCAGAAAGCGGAGAAGGCUGGUCUCAUCCGUGGCAUUCAAGAGCUGAUUGACACGAUCCUGCCAUCCAUGCUGCGGCCAGUGUGCAACACCCGAGCUGCAAACCCGUUUGAGGAGGAUAAGCAGACGGGCUUGCUGAGCAUGUACCGCGAUCACGUGUUCUUGCAGCGCGAUGGUCGGUCUGGCAUGCAGGGGGGCACUGACAAGGUCGCCGCCACCAUGGGUGAGGGGAUGCGCGACUCGGCGACCACGGGUCUGUCUUCCAGUGUUGCCGCCGCCCCCGCAUCCGGCCCGUCGUCUCUACUUGGCCCCGGCACCGCAGUUACAGCACCUUCUGCGUCGCCAUCCUUCACAGAGUCGCCUUCCCUCGCGAUGGCUGCUUCUUCCACGGCUGCCGCCGCUCCGUCGCCGCCGCCGCCGCCAUCAUCAGCCGCGGCGACGUCGUCGCCAGCUGACAUGCAAGCCAUGAUGGCGAUAAUGCAGCAGAUGGUCGCAUAUCGGCAGCAGCAACAACAGCAAGACCGACAGAGCAGCAGUGCACCUGCGACCGUCAACUCACACGGGACACUAUCCUCAUCGUCCCCACAGACAUCGGGAAAUCCUGUUGAGUCCUCCGUUCCGGUGACCCCGCAAGAGUCGGACCUCAACAGCGAACCGUGCCCACCUACCGUGGUGCCUCAACCCGGCCUGUCCAACAACUGCGCUACCCAGGUUAAUGCAUGGGCUGGCGAGGACGUGUCAAAAUCGCAACACUGAACCGAGCGCUGUGCUUCCUGCGUAUCACAAGCUUGUCUCUCCCUAUUCUCAUUCUCGGCCAACAAGGAGGAUCACUGAUCUGCCGCUGUGGGCGCGUCUAACUUCUUCUUCCCUCUCUUCCUUCCUUUGCGCGUCUUCUUGUGUGCGGGUGUGCUCGCGGUCUCUCCGUGGUCUCCUCAUGCUCACCCAUGACGACACCACCUUGCUCAGUGUAUGAUGGUGCAUGCCGUGUGGUAACGGCUCUUGGGGGAUGGCAGGCGGGGUCAGAGUUUGGCUCCGCCACCCCUUCCUCCGCUCCUGUCUUUACGCGACCUCACUAUCCCCUUUCUCCGUGGCGCUCCCCCGUUCGCUAGUCUCUCCCUCAACCGUUGCUUUUUUUUUUCUGUGCGCUGCCGCCUGGUCAUGAAGACCUCGAAUGGUGCGGCCAGGAGUUGGAGAGCGUUUGUCCACUGCCCUCGCUUUAUGAGGUAGGGCGCCAUCAGCGCAAGGCCCACCCCGCACUCCUGACGCACACAAAUCGGAAGGGACUGAGGAGGGGCGGGGGGGCAACGAAGGGAGACGUUGAUGCUGCACGUGUACCUAAAAGAGACGCCCUGGCCAUCGCUGAGAUGGGGUAGCGGGGGUGCGGACACACG